UGGGGUAUAGCCAAGCGGUAAGGCACCGGACUUUGACUCCGUCAUGCGCAGGUUCGAUUCCUGCUACCCCAGCCA
rnacentral:tRNA from 1 species